UGGUGGAGUGAUUUGUCUGGUUAAUUCCGUUAACGAACGAGACCUCGACCUGCUAAAUAGUGCAGCGAAUCUUCGGCUUCGACUGACACUUCUUAGAGGGACUUUGUCUGUUUAGGACAAGGAAGUGCGAGGCAAUAACA
rnacentral:rRNA from 1 species